rnacentral:rRNA from 1 species
GACGAACGCUGGCGGCGUGCCUAAUACAUGCAAGUCGAGCGAAGUUUUUCUGGUGCUUGCACCGGAAAAACUUAGCGGCGAACGGGUGAGUAACACGUAAAGAACCUGCCUCAUAGACUGGGACAACUAUUGGAAACGAUAGCUAAUACCGGAUAAUAGCAUUAACUGCAUGGUUGAUGUUUAAAAGUUGGUUUUGCUAACACUAUGAGAUGGCUUUGCGGUGCAUUAGCUAGUUGGUGGGGUAAAGGCCUACCAAGGCGACGAUGCAUAGCCGACCUGAGAGGGUGAUCGGCCACACUGGGACUGAGACACGGCCCAGACUCCUACGGGAGGCAGCAGUAGGGAAUCUUCCGCAAUGGGCGAAAGCCUGACGGAGCAACGCCGCGUGAGUGAAGAAGGAUUUCGGUUCGUAAAGCUCUGUUGUUAGGGAAGAAUGAUUGUGUAGUAACUAUACACAGUAGAGACGGUACCUAACCAGAAAACCACGGCUAACUACGU